UAGGUGCAGCGGCUCCACCGGUUCUCCUUCAUGACUGGAAUUUUUUCUUCAGCUAACAUGCACAAAAAGGGACAGUGAACACAAGGGUUAAAAAACCUUGUGAAAUGAGAAACGGGAAGGGGGUCAUCGAAGAGGGUUUAGGGUUUUGGCCGCGAUCGCUCCACUGAGUUUUGUCUACAAUUUCUAACUCACCCGCCAUCUCAUUUGCUCCGAUAUGACCACAAAGAGUCUCGG
rnacentral:lncRNA from 1 species